rnacentral:rRNA from 1 species
AUUGAACGCUGGCGGCAGGCUUAACACAUGCAAGUCGAACGAGUGGCGGACGGGUGAGUAAUGUCUGGGAAACUGCCUGAUGGAGGGGGAUAACUACUGGAAACGGUAGCUAAUACCGCAUACCAUCCGAUGAGCCCCGAUGGGAGUAGAUAGUAGGUGGGGUAAUGGCUCACCAAGGCGACGAUCCCUAGCUGGUCUGAGAGGAUGACCAGCCAAACGGGAACUGAGACACGGUCCAGACUCCUACGGGAGGCAGCAGUGGGGAAUAUUGCACAAUGGGCAGAAGCCUGAUGCAGCCAUGCCGCGUGUGUGAAGAAGGCCUUCGGGUUGUAAAGCACUGUCAGCGAGGAGGCGUUACUCGCAGAAGAAGCACCGGCUAACUCCGUGCCAGCAGCCGCGGUAAUUC